CCUACGGGAGGCAGCAGUGGGGAAUAUUGCACAAUGGGGGAAACCCUGAUGCAGCGACGCCGCGUGAGUGAAGAAGUAAUUCGUUAUGUAAAGCUCUAUCAGCAGGGAAGAAAAUGACGGUACCUGAGUAAGAAGCCCCGGCUAACUACGUGCCAGCGGCCGCGGGACUACGUAGGGGGCAAGCGUGAUCCGGAUUUACUGGGUGUUAAGGGAGCGUAGACGGGAGUGCAAGUCUGGAGUGAAAGGCGGGGGUUCAACCCCCGGACUGCUGUUGAAACUGUACGGCUGGAGUGAAGGAGAGGUAAGUGGAAUGCCGAGUGUAGCGGUGAAAUGCGUAGAUAUUGGGAGGAACACCAGUGGCGAAGGCGGCGUACUGGACUGUAACUGACGUUGAGGCUCGAAAGCGUGGGUAGCAAACAGGAUUAGAUACCCCAGUAGUC
rnacentral:rRNA from 1 species